rnacentral:rRNA from 1 species
CCUACGGGAGGCAGCAGUGGGGAAUAUUGGGCAAUGGGCGCAAGCCUGACCCAGCAACGCCGCGUGAAGGAAGAAGGCUUUCGGGUUGUAAACUUCUUUUCUCAGGGACGAAGCAAGUGACGGUACCUGAGGAAUAAGCCACGGCUACCUACGUGCCAGAAGCCGCGGUAAUACGUAGGUGGCAAGGGUUAUCCGGAUUUACUGGGUGUAAGGGGCGUGUAGGCGGGAAAGCAAGUCAGAUGUGAAAACCAUGGGCUCAACCUGUGGCCUGCAUUUGAAACUGUUUUUCUUGAGUACUGGAGAGGCAGACGGAAUUCCUAGUGUAGCGGUGAAAUGCGUAGAUAUUAGGAGGAACACCAGUGGCGAAGGCGGUCUGCUGGACAGCAACUGACGCUGAGGCGCGAAAGCGUGGGGAGCAAACAGGAUUAGAUACCCCGUGUAGUC